UACGAAGGGUGCAAGCGUUACUCGGAAUUACUGGGCGUAAAGCGUGCGUAGGCGGUUUGUUAAGUCUGUCGUGAAAGCCCUGGGCUCAACCUGGGAAUGGCAUUGGAUACUGGCGACCUAGAGUGCGGUAGAGGGGUGUGGAAUUCCCGGUGUAGCAGUGAAAUGCGUAGAUAUCGGGAGGAACACCAAUGGCGAAGGCAGCUUGCUGGGACGGUACUGACGCUGAGGCGCGAAAGCGUGGGAGCAAACGGGG
rnacentral:rRNA from 1 species